GGGCGACCGGCCACACUGGGACUGAGACACGGCCCAGACUCCUACGGGAGGCAGCAGUGGGGAAUAUUGCGCAAUGGGCGAAAGCCUGACGCAGCAACGCCGCGUGAGGGAUGAAGGCCUUCGGGUUGUAAACCUCUUUUAGCAGGGAAGAAGCGAAAGUGACGGUACCUGCAGAAAAAGCACCGGCUAACUACGUGCCAGCAGCCGCGGUAAUACGUAGGGUGCAAGCGUUAUCCGGAAUUAUUGGGCGUAAAGAGCUCGUAGGCGGUUUGUCGCGUCUGCUGUGAAAAUCUGAGGCUCAACCUCGGACUUGCAGUGGGUACGGGCAGACUAGAGUGCGGUAGGGGAGAAGGGAAUUCCUGGUGUAGCGGUGGAAUGCGCAGAUAUCAGGAGGAACACCAAUGGCGAAGGCACUUCUCUGGGCUGUAACUGACGCUGAGGAGCGAAAGCGUGGGGAGCGAACAGGAUUAGAUACCCUGGUAGUCCACGCCGUAAACGUUGGGCGCUAGAUGUGGGUCACAUUCCACGUGAUCCGUGUCGCAGCUAACGCAUUAAGCGCCCCGCCUGGGGAGUACGAUCGCAAGAUUAAAACUCAAAGGAAUUGACGGGGGCCCGCACAAGCGGCGGAGCAUGCGGAUUAAUUCGAUGCAACGCGAAGAACCUUACCAAGGCUUGACGUAUACAGGAAAACUGCAGAAAUGUAGUCCCCCGCAAGGGUCUGUAUACAGGUGGUGCAUGGUUGUCGUCAGCUCGUGUCGUGAGAUGUUGGGUUAAGUCCCGCAACGAGCGCAACCCUCGUCCUAUGUUGCCAGCACGUAAAGGUGGGAACUCAUGGGAGACUGCCGGGGUCAACUCGGAGGAAGGUGGGGAUGACGUCAAAUCAUCAUGCCCCUUAUGUCUUGGGCUUCACGCAUGCUACAAUGGCCGGUACAAAGGGCUGCAAUACCGCAAGGUGGAGCGAAUCCCAAAAAGCCGGUCUCAGUUCGGAUUGAGGUCUGCAACUCGACCUCAUGAAGUCGGAGUCGCUAGUAAUCGCAGAUCAGCAACGCUGCGGUGAAUACGUUCCCGGGCCUUGUACA
rnacentral:rRNA from 1 species